UGGCGUUUUGUUUGUAUAGAUCCUAUUAUCUUUUGGGUUAUAUCAUAAUACUGUUUGUCUUCUUGUGUAUGUCAAAGCAAUGGAAAGUGAUAAAGGAAGAAUUGGUGGGAUAGGCGGUGGUGGUAUAGGGGCUGGAGGAAGCAGGAAAGAGAAAGGCUUAAAUACUAGUAAACGUGAGGCAGCUGCUAAACGAAAAGCACGGCCAGAUCCUCCCCAACACUACGAUGUACCUCAACCAACACCACGGGUUUUCGCUGAUGGAAGCAAACUGCUUUUUGAUUGGUGUCAGAUACACCCGACUUUGCUUUGUCAUAUUAUUUGUCAAAUCACGGAUAUCUGUUGGGCUCUAGUUCUUGGCCGGAUUCUCCAGUUCGUGUACAACAAGGAUCGUCACAAUGUCAAUCAACACAAGUAUUUGGACAUUGAUGGCUUCGCAAAAUUGUGAAAUUGGGGAAGAAAGAAAUAGCUCAUAAUAAAGUAGCUGAGAGUAGUAGUAUGGCGGUUGGUUCUCUUAAAAAUGCAAUGAAGCACAUACAUGACGUUGGAAUACAGAAAAAGAAAGACACUAUCAAGACGAAAUCAAAGACAUUUACAGUCAAGGGCUCUUUUUUCCUAUAAAAGAUGCAACUCCAGGAAUGAUCACUCGUUUGCUAGAGACUAAAGGUCCUGUUGGUAUGGCACUUGAUGUGACCCCUGUGCUUCUAAAACUUAAAGAUGGAAUUUAUAGGGUACCAGAGCCAGAAGUUGGAAAAGAGAGACAUGUCAUCACUAUUGUAGCACAUGGGGUAACAUUAGAUGGAGAAAUUUUUUUCGAUGUGCAAAACACAUGGGGAGUCAACUGGGGAGUUGCAGGUCAUGGGAGGAUCAUAAUUACAGGAACCACUAACGACAUCUUUUUUCUAGACCAAUUGCUUAAGAAAAAUAAGUAAAUUUGGCCUACACUACCUGUUUAGUUUCAUCUUAUAACUUUUCUUUCUAAUUUUCUUUAUUUUAUUUUAUCUUAAUUAUAUUUCGACUUCUUAAA